rnacentral:sRNA from 1 species
AUAUCUCUCUGUACGGGAAGGAUGAGAAGCUUCGACUAAGGUUCGAUUCGAGCGCAGCGAGAAAGCGUUGCCGUAGGCAACGACC